rnacentral:lncRNA from 1 species
GACCUAAUGUUGAAAACGUAAUCAAAUGAGAAACAGCACAAAGAAAAAGAAUCUGGUUAAUAUAGUCAUCUAAUAAUAUAAUCUGGCAUAAAAAACAGAAUAUAAUUUCAAGCAUAUAUCAACUAAAUUUUCUUGAGGACGAAUCAACUAUGUAUUAAUAGGUCUGUUUCUACUAGACUACUGAUCAAAUAUCCAUGAUCAGUUAGAACACAAAUACUGUGACAUGCACAAUUCUUUUGGAAGUUAUUAUGUUUUUAUUUGGAGCUUAAGGGUCAAGAGUGCAAACUCACCUUUUCUUUGCUUCCUGCACUUCCAACAACAUAGCAACCAACCAACUUUGCAAAUUGCCCAACUAGCUGACCAACAGCUCCAGAUGCUGCAGAUACAUAGACAUACUCUCCUUUCUUAGGAGAGCAAAGCUCAUAUAAACCACCAUAUGCAGUCAAACCAGGCAUACCUAGAAUCAACAGAAAAAUACCCAAUAAUCAGCAACAAUAGUAAAUUCCUCAAAUGAAAUCCUUCAGUUACAUGCCCAUACAGACGGACCAAUUGUUGAAAAUUCAAAAUGCUAGACGUUCAAGCAGGCAUAUUAUAUAUCCCUAUCUCAUUGCAUUGAAUAAAACACGAUUUUCGGCUCAUGCAAACUGGACAUCGAUAAAUUUAGUAACAACUUACCAAGAAUCCCAGUAUAGUAUGACAGAGGCACAUUUGUAUCCAGAAUUUUAAUCAGAUGUUGUGGUGAUUGGAUGAGACUGUACUCCUCCCAACUGGUUAAGCCCCAGACCAAGUCAUCUUUCUUAUAAUUUGGAUGUGUGGAAUCCAACACUUUGGACACUCCAUAUCCGCUCAAGGGCUGCAUAAUUUGAACAUUUGAAAAAAAAAAAAAUCAUUACUGAAUAAUGUAACCUCAACAUCCCUUUCCCAAAGCAAGCAAUCAAAUCCUCAGAAACAAUGCUAACAUGAUAUCAUAACUAAACAUAUGUUUUGAUAAGACAAAAGUUUUAAUCUCAUUAAGAGAAUCUUCUCUUAACAAGAUCCCCUAUACUUAUUAUUGCAUACAUAGUCCGACACAUCAUACUCUCUUCAAGGAUUCAUGCCCACAAACCAAAACCAUAAUGUUUCCCUAAAACACCUCUAAGACCAUAAAAGAUUAUGAAACCAAGAGGUGGGAAUUGAAGAAACUGACCUCGCCAGGGUUGAAGGAGGCAACAAACGAAGGCUUAUCAAGCUUACUCAUACGUCCUCUCAUGUAAGGAUCACAGGAAAGAUAAAGAUUCUUCAAAAGCACUGUGUCUUUUGAGCCCUCUGGCACCUUCAGGUUUAUUGAGCCUGUUAUUAUCUUCAUGUCUGAUUCCUUGGGAAACCCUGUCACGUAGUUGCUCAGAAUCACCUGCUUGUUGCUCACUGCUUCUUCACCCGCCAUUUUUUAUGUAGAUUUUGUUUUUGGAUGGUGAGAAAUUUUAUGUGCGUAUUUAUUUAUAGAGAGAGAGUGAAAAUGUGAAACGCGUUUAAUGUGUAGCAGUUACGAGAAAUUUUGUGUGUGAAAAUUUGGAAGGAAAGCCUGGAAAAGAGCCAGACUUUUGAAAUGGUCGGUCCCAGGAUUUUGACGAUUUUAUUUAUUUUAUUUUUUCCAGUCAAUCUAGUCAAAUUUGUAAUUUUCUUUGAAAUUUCGAAAUUUUGUUUUAAAAUUCGUUGUAAAUUUGGGAAAUUUUGCUGCUGUACCGUACAUCCGCCUUGGCCGUACAGCAGAUCAAGUUGUGUACGCCUUCAGGCUUCUCAAGGUUGUACUGUGAGAUCAUUCCGCAUACGGCGAUGCGGCCAUGAAUUCUCAUGUUGAGUAGGACUGCAUCAAGCAUCUUACCCCCAACAUUUUCGAAAUAGAUGUCGAUGCCUUCAGGAAAGCACCUGGGAAAACAAAUAUGAUUUCAGCAAACUUGGAAUAAAAUAAUGCAACGAAUCUUUUCAUUUCCUAAAUAAACAUACAUCACAAACAUGAUUCUGUUAGCUGCAAGUGAAAAUUUCCCUCUGAAUUGAAUAUCUAUCUUCAUUCCAAGUUUAUACUAUGUAUGGCAAUGGUAGAAAAUAUCAAUGUAACAAAUGAGAUCAGUGAUCUCUGUUUGUCCUGUUUUACAUUUACAGGACCAACGCAGAUAACAUCAAUCAGCGCAUUGUAAUAAUGAAGUGAGAAAAGUGGUUAAAGCAUUCAUUCGUGCUAACCUCUUAAGAGCUGCAUCCAAGUCUGGCUCUUUCUUAUAGUUAAAAGCAUCAUCAAACCCAAACUUGUUCUUCAACAGAUUGACCUAAUGUUGAAAACGUAAUCAAAUGAGAAACAGCACAAAGAAAAAGAAUCUGGUUAAUAUAGUCAUCUAAUAAUAUAAUCUGGCAUAAAAAACAGAAUAUAAUUUCAAGCAUAUAUCAACUAAAUUUUCUUGAGGACGAAUCAACUAUGUAUUAAUAGGUCUGUUUCUACUAGACUACUGAUCAAAUAUCCAUGAUCAGUUAGAACACAAAUACUGUGACAUGCACAAUUCUUUUGGAAGUUAUUAUGUUUUUAUUUGGAGCUUAAGGGUCAAGAGUGCAAACUCACCUUUUCUUUGCUUCCUGCACUUCCAACAACAUAGCAACCAACCAACUUUGCAAAUUGCCCAACUAGCUGACCAACAGCUCCAGAUGCUGCAGAUACAUAGACAUACUCUCCUUUCUUAGGAGAGCAAAGCUCAUAUAAACCACCAUAUGCAGUCAAACCAGGCAUACCUAGAAUCAACAGAAAAAUACCCAAUAAUCAGCAACAAUAGUAAAUUCCUCAAAUGAAAUCCUUCAGUUACAUGCCCAUACAGACGGACCAAUUGUUGAAAAUUCAAAAUGCUAGACGUUCAAGCAGGCAUCUGCUGUACGGCCAAGGCGGAUGUACGGUACAGCAGCAGAGAAUUAGCUUGACAUAGAAAGCUAUUGGUUAAGAUAACGUGGCCUAAUUUCUAGGAAAGUUGUGUGCCACGAUCUAUGUAAACCAUCUCCAACUGAUGAUCACGUGCAACUGCUGAAGAAAGUGGGCAGAAGUUAAAGGUAGUAACCACCCACGACCAGGGGCCUAUUUAAGCUGAAAAUGGCAACUGAGGAAGGGGUUAGCAAAAUUCAACCAAAAAACUCUAUAAGUGACCUACCUAGGAGCCUUAAGAAAGAGGACCAGAUUUGGAGUUCCUUUAUCAGAAAAUUCCUUUCUUUUGAACCCAUUCACAAUUCUUCCCUCUCAUUUUUGUCGCUUUAUACACAAUUUCUGACUUAAGCAUUGGAGGGUCUACGCCGGAAACCCACCGGCGUAUCCUAACCGUGUUUUCUGGUUGACAGGUACAGAAAAUUACGGUCAUAUUGGCGUUUAAGCUUGGAUUCGUGCUAUAAUUCCCCUAAAGAAACAAAUUCAGCUGUUGAGGUCGUUUUUCGGCAUCAACAUUAACUUUGCAAGCUACCACUCUUGAGGGUCUUGUUGGGACAUUGUUGAUGAAUUAAACUGCAUUCUCCAGUGAAAACACUAACAUUUCAAAGCGUUCAUUGAUUUAGAAACCAGUACCAUACACAUGUUCUGAAUCUUUCAUUUAUAGCUGAGUACAACUUGAUCAAACAAACAUAACAUGUAUCAAAAAUAAGACAGAGGCAUCUUCACUAAGCUUUUAAAGUGCAUGGCACAGUCCACUUUUAAAGCAUAUUGUAAUCAUAUCAUUCAGGAGCAACUACAACCAGUUGUUUUCCAACAUUCUGCCCAGUGAAUAUCCCAACUAGGGCUGAUGGAGCUUUCUCCAGGCCUUCAGCUAUGUCCUCGACAUAUACUAACUUUCCUUCUUUGAUUGCCGGCAUAACCAGUUCCAAGAAUUUCGGAUAUUGGUGGUAGAAAUCACCGGCAAGAAACCCUUCCAUGCGAAUUCGUUUUCCAACUACUUGCAUCAAGUUGUGUACGCCUUCAGGCUUCUCAAGGUUGUACUGUGAGAUCAUUCCGCAUACGGCGAUGCGGCCAUGAAUUCUCAUGUUGAGUAGGACUGCAUCAAGCAUCUUACCCCCAACAUUUUCGAAAUAGAUGUCGAUGCCUUCAGGAAAGCACCUGGGAAAACAAAUAUGAUUUCAGCAAACUUGGAAUAAAAUAAUGCAACGAAUCUUUUCAUUUCCUAAAUAAACAUACAUCACAAACAUGAUUCUGUUAGCUGCAAGUGAAAAUUUCCCUCUGAAUUGAAUAUCUAUCUUCAUUCCAAGUUUAUACUAUGUAUGGCAAUGGUAGAAAAUAUCAAUGUAACAAAUGAGAUCAGUGAUCUCUGUUUGUCCUGUUUUACAUUUACAGGACCAACGCAGAUAACAUCAAUCAGCGCAUUGUAAUAAUGAAGUGAGAAAAGUGGUUAAAGCAUUCAUUCGUGCUAACCUCUUAAGAGCUGCAUCCAAGUCUGGCUCUUUCUUAUAGUUAAAAGCAUCAUCAAACCCAAACUUGUUCUUCAACAGAUUGACCUAAUGUUGAAAACGUAAUCAAAUGAGAAACAGCACAAAGAAAAAGAAUCUGGUUAAUAUAGUCAUCUAAUAAUAUAAUCUGGCAUAAAAAACAGAAUAUAAUUUCAAGCAUAUAUCAACUAAAUUUUCUUGAGGACGAAUCAACUAUGUAUUAAUAGGUCUGUUUCUACUAGACUACUGAUCAAAUAUCCAUGAUCAGUUAGAACACAAAUACUGUGACAUGCACAAUUCUUUUGGAAGUUAUUAUGUUUUUAUUUGGAGCUUAAGGGUCAAGAGUGCAAACUCACCUUUUCUUUGCUUCCUGC